CUUCCUCCGCAGUUCGGGUGGGGGCAUAAGGAUCUUCCUGCUGGUGCUCCUUUAAAGUCCAAGCAUAAGUCAUACCAAUACGUGUUCUGUGUGAUUGCUGCGGUUUCACUCAUUGUGGUUUCAGUGUGGGGUUAGUAAUGCUGUUUAGAGGGGAGAAUGGAAACGACCAUUGCAGCUGGUGCCAUUACCUGAGCUGUGUUCCUACAUCAAAAUGGCACUGUGGAGACUAAUGAUACCCUUACCCUUACUCAAUCA